GGUCCAGCCUGCCCUGUGACUAUAUGUUUAACGGCCGCGGUAUUUUGACCGUGCGAAGGUAGCGCAAUCACUUGUCUUUCAAAUGAAGACCUGUAUGAAUGGCACAACGAGGGCUUAACUGUCUCCUUUUUCAGGUCAAUGAAAUUGAUCUCCCCGUGCAGAAGCGGGGAUAAAUACAUAAGACGAGAAGACCCUAUGGAGCUUUAGACACCAGGGUACAUCAUGUCAAACACCCUUAAACAAAGGAUUAAACCAAAUGAGCUAUACCCCUAUGUCUUUGGUUGGGGCGACCGCGGGGAAAUGAAAAACCCCCACGUGGAAUGAGAAUACUAUUCUUAUACCCAAGAGCUGCAGCUCUAAUCACAGAAUUUCUGACCAACAAGAUCCGGCAACGCCGAUCAACGGACCGAGUUACCCUAGGGAUAACAGCGCAAUCCCCUUUUAGAGCCCAUAUCGACAAGGGGGUUUACGACCUCGAUGUUGGAUCAGGACAUCCUAAUGGUGCAGCCGCUAUUAAGGGUUCGUUUGUUCAACGAUUAAAGUCCUACGUGA
rnacentral:rRNA from 1 species